rnacentral:rRNA from 1 species
AGGGCGCACGGUGGAUGCCUUGGUACUAGGAGCCGAAGAAGGACGGAACUAACACCGAUAUGCUUUGGGGAGCUGUAAGUAAGCUAAGAUCCAAAGAUUUCCGAAUGGGGGAACCCAACACCUUUCAUAGGGUGUUACCAAUGAGUGAAUACAUAGCUCAUUAGGAGGUACACGCAGGGAACUGAAACAUCUCAUUACCUGCAGGAAGAGAAAGAAAAAUCGAUUCCCUGAGUAGCGGCGAGCGAAACGGGAGGAGCCCAAACCAACGAGCUUGCUUGUUGGGGUUGUAGGACUAGAACGUGAGAAGAAAUCAAGAUAGCAGAAGUGGUCUGGAAAGGCCCAUCAAAGAAGGUGACAAUCCUGUACGCGACAUCUUGAUGAACUCUACUAGCAUCCUGAGUACGGCGGGACACGAGGAAUCCCGUCGGAAUCCGCCAGGACCAUCUGGCAAGGCUAAAUACUACCUAGUGACCGAUAGUGAACCAGUACCGUGAGGGAAAGGUGAAAAGAACCCCGGGAGGGGAGUGAAAGAGUACCUGAAACCGUGUGCUUACAAGUAGUCAGAGCCCGUUAAUGGGUGAUGGCGUGCCUUUUGUAGAAUGAACCGGCGAGUUACGUUUACAUGCGAGGUUAAGAUGAAGAGUCGGAGCCGUAGCGAAAGCGAGUCUGAAUAGGGCGCAUGUAGUAUGUGGACGUAGACCCGAAACCAAGUGAUCUACCCAUGUCCAGGUUGAAGGUGCGGUAAAACGCACUGGAGGACCGAACCAGGGCACGUUGAAAAGUGCUUGGAUGACUUGUGGGUAGCGGAGAAAUUCCAAACGAACUUGGAGAUAGCUGGUUCUCUCCGAAAUAGCUUUAGGGCUAGCGUCGACAUAGAGAUUCUUGGAGGUAGAGCACUGUUUGGGUGAGGGGUCCAUCCCGGAUUACCAAUCUCAGAUAAACUCCGAAUGCCAAUGAAUUAUGGUCGGCAGUCAGACUGCGAGUGCUAAGAUCCGUAGUCGAAAGGGAAACAGCCCAGACCACCAGCUAAGGUCCCAAAAUAUAUGUUAAGUGGAAAAGGAUGUGGGGUUGCACAGACAACUAGGAUGUUAGCUUAGAAGCAGCUAUUCAUUCAAAGAGUGCGUAAUAGCUCACUAGUCGAGUGACCCUGCGCCGAAAAUGUACCGGGGCUAAAACAAUUUACCGAAGCUGUGGAUACCUUUAUAGGUAUGGUAGGAGAGCGUUCUAUGUGUGAAGAAGGUGUACCGUGAGGAGCGCUGGAACGCAUAGAAGUGAGAAUGCCGGUAUGAGUAGCGAAAGACAGGUGAGAAUCCUGUCCACCGUAAGACUAAGGUUUCCAGGGGAAGGCUCGUCCGCCCUGGGUUAGUCGGGACCUAAGGAGAGACCGAAAGGUGUAUCCGAUGGACAACAGGUUGAUAUUCCUGUACUAGAGUAUGUAGUGAUGGAGGGACGCAGUAGGCUAACUAAAGCAGACGAUUGGAAGUGUCUGUCUAAGCAGUGAGGUGUGAAUUGAGUCAAAUGCUUAGUUCUAUAACAUUGAGCUGUGAUGGGGAGCGAAGUUUAGUAGCGAAGUUAGUGACGUCACACUGCCAAGAAAAGCUUCUAGCGUUUAAACAUACUCUACCCGUACCGCAAACCGACACAGGUAGUCGAGGCGAGUAGCCUCAGGUGAGCGAGAGAACUCUCGUUAAGGAACUCGGCAAAAUGACCCCGUAACUUCGGGAGAAGGGGUGCUGGUAGCAAUACCAGCCGCAGUGAAUAGGCCCAGGCGACUGUUUAUCAAAAACACAGGUCUCUGCAAAAUCGAAAGAUGACGUAUAGGGGCUGACGCCUGCCCGGUGCUGGAAGGUUAAGAGGAGAGGUUAGCGCAAGCGAAGCUUUGAAUUGAAGCCCCAGUAAACGGCGGCCGUAACUAUAACGGUCCUAAGGUAGCGAAAUUCCUUGUCGGGUAAGUUCCGACCCGCACGAAAGGCGUAACGAUCUGGGCACUGUCUCAACGAGAGACUCGGUGAAAUUAUAGUACCUGUGAAGAUGCAGGUUACCCGCGACAGGACGGAAAGACCCCAUGGAGCUUUACUG